rnacentral:sRNA from 1 species
GAGUGAUAGGGUGCCAAUGAGAGGUGCUAAUCACAUCAACCUCUUGGAUGCUUCGACUCAAAGUAGAUCUUUUUUCUUUUUUCGCUGAUUCAGAAAAUAUAGGAUCAAUGUAGUUUUCAAUUAGUAUAGAUUGUAUAAUGAUUAAAAGACAUGCAUGCCAUUUGGCAUGACGUUUGAAAAAGUUAAAAGGAUUUUUUGAAAUUCAAAAAUUAUUUUAGAAUUUGUUUGAGUAAUUUUAUGAAUAAUUUCUUGUAACUAGAAGUAAUUUUAGAGGAAAUUGAUCAAACAUAACUUCCUUCAAAAAUAAUUCCAAAAAAGAAAAUGCUUUUAAAAUUAGUUUUCAAAUAAAAGUUAAGAUAGCUUUUUUCAAAAGCUAUUUUACGGGAAGUGAAAACAAACUACUCUUUGCUUAGUUGACGAAUUGAGAUGGAAAUGAGAACAUGAUCAUCGUCGUGUCCCACCUUUUGAAAAUAUACAAUCGAGUGGGGGAUGAGCAAGGUCGCCCUAGCCCUACACCAUAGCGAUCCCUGAUAAUUGUCAUAUUAUUCUCUUAAUUCUUUUGAAAUUAUUUGUGUUAUCAUUUGAUCGCGUGGUUCUUGUAAAUUUGUUUGGUUUGUUAUUUGUCUUAAUUAUAUGUUUUCUACAAUAAAAUCGGUGUACUCAAUAUUGAUUUCAACUAAAGGGAUAUAUAUAUUUAAAAAAUAAUAAUAAAAUGAGGUAAAUGUAAAAUUUUGAUUUUUAAUUAAAAAAGGCAUUAAAAAUUAUUAAAAGAAUGUAAUUUUUUUAAUAUAAUUUUUGGACAAAAUAGAAUAUCUGUAAAGUCAUCACUUUCAUGAAAGUAGUACAAUGGGCCUGUAGUCUGAGAGGCUGUGACAUGCAUUUGUAUGCCAGGCUAGUUGGGUUGCCUGAGCCCAACGAGACAUACAUUCCGUUUUCCCAGAAAUAUAAAGAAGUUCAUACCAAGUCCAUGGUGUAAAUUAAAAGUUAAUGAAAAAUUUAAAUUAAAUUGAAUAAUUAUUUUUAUUCACACAUUUUAUGAAAUCCACAUACACAUUCAACCUUAUUCGGGUUAGGGCACGUUGGGUGCAGAAUUUUUCCAAUCCCCAAUAUUUCAUUUGCAUGCGUAGUUGAUAUCAAAACUCCACUUAUGUAUCUAGUGACAAGGUCAGUAAAAUAAACUUAGCUCCUUGUUGGUGGGGAUGAAAAUCAAUUUUUACUGGACUUUGAUAAAAAUUGAUGAAAUGUGUGGUUGAAAAAUUGUUGGAUCCAUGAAAUAUGUAAUUAAAAUUAAUUGUUAACUUUAUUUUAAAUAAAAACCUGAAUUUUUAUCCGUACCAAACAAGGACUUAAUAUCUCAUCAUUAAACAGUUCAAAGACAUUCAAUAUUACAUAUCAAACAUGUUCUAUAUAAGCAUAGAAUGUAGUCUCCUCUCUUCCUCUUUCUCGUACACACAAGUAACAGGGUUGUGGAAUUUACAUGCAACUCAUGUUGUGACUAUAGCGCCAUCCACACGAGUCAUGGGCAACUCAAUGCACCGUUUCAUUACAUAUUAUUCCUCGUCUUGGCUCUUCUAUUCAUGUACCUUUUCGCUGGUUUAGAUAGCAAAUGUAUUUUAUGGGCCGUAUAUGUCCGAAUGCCUUCGCCAAUCGAUGUUAAUUCUAUCCCUUUGUGUUUUCCAGUAAAAGCAUGUCUACAAGAACAUGUUUUGGGCAGAUGAAGAACUUUAACGAGACAGAUCUUUUCCAAGUUCGGAAUGGCGUGGAGAUGGGACGGAAGAUCGAUGUGAAAUUCACCAUAGCCAUUCGUUUUGCCCAUCGCAUAUGAUUUCCUCGUCUCGGAGCUGCUGGUGCCGCAGAAAACGGCGAUUGAUGCAUCUGCAUAUUUUGUCAUAAAUUUUUAGAACAUGUUUAGUAUGCAAUAUUGAAAAAAUAGACGUACAAUGAAAAGAUUUUAGUAACCGCUUUCUUAACUGCUUCACAAUCUCGGCAGCAGCAAAAUCCUAAGUUCUGAAUUUUAAAACGCAUCUGAAAUAUAAUCUAGGAUCUUAGAAAUAUUUGUGCAACCUAAAUACCGUGAAACUUAUCUUAACAAACACCUCUGUUCACGAUAAUGAUGUGCCUGAAUUUUGGGCAUUGAAAUAUAAUUUCGUUAAUACUAUAAAAGAAAUCUAUGUUCACGACCAUUAUUCUCUUUUGACUGCUAGAUGUACAAAAUUUGAUUUACAAAAAGUUUUACUUACACUCACAAUGAGAAGGUGGGACCAUAUGUUGGAAUUUUUUAUUUGGAAAGUGCUACAUGUACAUAAUUGUCUACAUAAUGGUGUCCAUAAUUACACGUGGCACUGAAUCAAACAUUUAAUUCAAAUUUCACACUUGCACGUCAACAACUGAAUGAUUGUCACAUCACAUUAUGGACACUAUUAUAUACAAUAAUUAUGUACAUGUAGAAUUUUCCUUUUUAUUUCAUGCGGGGCCCACAUGUAUGUGAGAGGGAGUAAAACUUUUUGUAAACCAAAUUUUGUACAAAUAUCUUUAAGAAAAUAAAACUUAAAAGACAAUAAUUAAAGAUCGGACAUAAAAUUAGUGGUUUUCCACUUUCAGAAAUAUAUUUACAGCCCAUUUUUUGGUCAAGAAACUGCCUUCAUGACUUGAAACUCUUAAUAUUUAUUUUUUUUCUGUUUGAUAAUUAAUUAAUUAAAUAAAUGAGUUUUAAAUCUGCGUGUUUGAACUAUGAGAUGAAUUAGUAGUUCAACAUGUUCGAUCCUAGAAUUAAGCGAUCUUGUAUUGCAUUUAAACAAUUAUGCUCCUUUUAGACCUUUAAUGAAAAAAUAACUUUGGUAUGCACUUGAUGAGAUUUCUUGAUAAAGACAAAUUCUAAAAAAUAAAUAUGUUCGAUAUUUAAAAUCUUAUAAUUUUACACAUUUAUCAACAUUUCAAAAAGUAUCAUCAUUUAAUUAUUGCAAAAGAACUGAAUUAUGGUGAUCAAACGAUGCUUUCAGAGCACGCAAAAUCACAAAAAUAAAAAAUAAAAAAAAUACUAAGCCCUUGUUUGAUGUAGCGAAAAACCGAAGUUUCAGUAAAUUUUGAUAAAAAGUUGAUAAAUUUAUGGUUAAAAAGCUGUGAGUCUUAUGAAAUGUGCAGUUAAAAUUAAUUGUUAACUUUUUACUUAGAUUUUUAACAAGAUUUGAAGCUACACCAAAUAUUAGAUAAGAAUCCUUGAAGAAUAGAAGAAAAUUAUACAAACCAGAAACUGGCAAAGGAUGAACUGAAUCUUUAUGAUUUCUAUCACCAUGGCAAAGAAGUUCCCCUGUGAUUAAAACCCUGGACAGUUGCUCUUCUCCAUAGCCAGCCCAAUUCACCAAGUCUUCAUUUACAGUAGGCAGUUCAAUAAUCGACUUUUCUUGACCGGCCGCCGUCGAUAGAGUCCCGGGACAGAGGAGGAGUAAGAAUAUGAAGAAAAUCAUAUUCACGAGAGUGUUACACCCGCGAAAAUGGCUCAUCAUCUGAUGUUUGUGUUUGUUCACAAACUUCGUGUUAACGUUAAGAGGGAAUGAAGGAACAAUGAAAAGUUAGCUACCACAUUUGGUUUGUUUAUAUAGGAUACCUGCAUGGUUCACAUGCCCUUUUCAAACAAAGCAAAUUACUAUUUUAGCCUUUAGAUAAUGAUACCAUGAUUUUUAUUUUUAUUUUUUUUGGGUUAAAACAUUUGGAUUUGAACAAGAAUUUGAUGAGAGGUUAUAUUACCAGUCAAAAUGACACUUUUAAUGUGUUCAUUUGGAGAAGAUUUUAUCAACAAUCUAAAUUAUGAUUUCAUACUUAUUUCAAAAAGUCUAGUGGAAGAAUCACCACUAAAAAUAAGUCCAAUUUGCAUCAAGAGUUUACAAUAUUAGGCUUGUUUUUAUUAUUGCACAACAAUUCGAGAUAUAUUCUCGUGACCCUAUUCUGAGUACGUAGAUUGUGUUUUAGAUGUUUUCACGCAACGAUAUUACAUGUUUUUGUAAGAUUCACAUUUGCUACAACUUUGUGACAUUUUUAGCAUGUUGGAGCGGAUAAUACUGAAUUAAGGGAAAAUUCAAGUUCUUAUGAGUAAUUCCAUACAACAACAUUGAGUCUCAACUACCAAAUUAACAUGCCCAUAGGUUGUUUAAUGCAAGAGGGCAAAUUGGAGAGUCAAAUUAAAAAUUGAGGGUCAUAAUAGUCAUUCCACCAGGAUUUUGUCAAAUAUUAAACUAGUUGAUUUUUUUUUUUUGGGAAGUUGGGAAAAUGGAGGGCUAACUGUUUAGGUUGGUAGCCUAAUCUUAUCACUUACGUAUUCUUUUAAUAGCAAGACCAACGUUUACAAGCCCAAAUCCCACCUUUGGUAAACAAGCACUCUAAUAGAGUCAAUUGUCUAGCCUGCCCCUUCUAUUUCCAUCUGACUCAAGUCUACACUUUCAUUAUGAUAAUCUUCUUGUUCAAACUUAUUUUGUACAAAUAAAAUUUCUCUUUCUGGGGGAAAAAAAAAACAAAAAACAAAAGAAUCAAACUGUUCAGACCCAUUCAACUAGAAAAACGAUAAUGGUCAAAACUGGAUUCAAUUUUCAAUUGACCCUAAAAAAAUAUUAUCGAUUAGCGAUUUCGAAAGAAAUAGAGUUAUUGUAAUGGUUUAAGAACUCAUAUCAUAUUCUUUUUUAAUCAAUGUUCCACCUAUUUUAACUUUUGAUUAAGCCACUUAAUUUAAAAGUCUGAUAAGUUAAGAAUACAAAAAAUAUUUUAUUUUUAAUACCUUAUUAGUAAGCUUCAUUUAAAAGUUUAAAUUUUAUUUUAAACUCCAAUCAAAUGCUUCAUUUUCUUAUUUGAGUGCAAAGUAUCAUAGACAUCUUCUAUAGUCAAAGUAUUCCAACAAUACAAGAUAGUAUCUCGAAACGACGCAUAAGAUCCAGGUAGCGAACACAAUAGGAUCAUUUUCAUUGUACUUAACCUCCAACGUCUCCAGAUCUGCAACUAUUUCCUUGGAGACGGCAACAUGGUCUUCCAACGACUCUCCUUCUGCCAUGCAAUGUGAAUACAGUUUCUGUUUGAGAGCCAGUUUACUUUUAAAAACUCUUAGUUAUACACAACUGCUCCAAAUUCAACCACAAAGCAGUUGUCAUUUUCUCCUUCAAGACAUCCUACAGAUUAUUGUUGUGCAGAUGAAGAUGAAUCAAUGAAACAGCUUUCCGAUCCUUCCGUUGUUUCUCCUCCGUUUUCCAAUCAGCUAGCAUCCUCUCAAUACUCAGCAACGCAUCAUCCAAAUCCAACUGCGCCAAAAUAGCCCUUAUCUUUACUUGCCACAAUGAGAACCUUGGAUUGUGAUCUAACAGCGAAACAUCAUACUUCAACCCAACCAUCUCGAACUAAUCUCAACCACUCUACAGAAAAUCAACAACCUCGCUCUGAUACUACUUAUUGGGCGUGAAAGCUCCAAUAAUACACGUUGAUUCUAAAUCAGAUUAUAAAGAAUGAGAUUUAACGACAAUAUUGAAGUAUACUAGAUCAUACUACAAAAAUACAAGACUGAAUUUGUAAAGAAAUAACACAAACGGUAAACGUAGAGGAACGAUAUUUAUUAAUUCAACAGUAUGGAGAAUAUAAGACAGACUAUCAAUACUACUUCUUUGUUACUCUCUACAAACUGAUCAGAGGAGCCUCGUAUUUAUAGGUCAACCCUAUAAGAGUUCUAAAAGACAAGAAAAUAUAUUACAAUUAGGAGACUCAAUUUCAACAGAAUUUUGUUUCCUUAUUCAACUUAAUUUCCUUAAGCCCUAGGUUAAUAUUUUCCUAAUCCAAGUCGAAUACGCAUUUUUAAAAGAUUCUUAUCUGAGCCAUACCCCUAACAAGAAUAAUAUUACACGUAAAUUGAAAAUUCUUCCUUCUUUUCCAACCAUCCAUUCUCCAAAAAAAUACUAUUUCACCCAUUAUAAUUUGAAAUAAUAGGGGGCCAAACGGGGGAUAAACGACAUGUAUACAUUUGGAAUUGGAGCUUUAUUAUAGGAUUAUGAAAAAAACUGAGUGUAUAGGAUUGGUUGACAAUCAUGUGUAGUCAAAAUUGAAGCUUAUGAUGUAGAAAAUAACUUUUUAAAUUGAAUGAAUAUGAUGAUACAAAAUAGGAUGUUGUCAAUCAUAUUUGUACAUUGGGGUGGAUUUAGGUGGCGGCCAAGUUGGAUUCGUUGGGAAGAAUUUUUUAUUUUUUAUUUUUGCUAAUAAUUGAUAGAAUUUUUAGAUUAUAUAUUUGAUAAUUCGUAUUAACAACAAACAUCUCUUGUAGCUUAGUUGGUUAGCCCUUCUACUAUUGAAUGGAAGGUCCUGUGUUUGAAACUCUUCUAAAGCAAUACUUUUUAUGAUUUUUGUAUUUCAACAAUUUUUAUUAAAACAAAUGCAAGUAAGGUGAAUCGAGCUUGUUACAUUUCUUAAACAUAUUGACCACUUUACGAUCAUGACACUUAUUGAUUUUUACCACAUAAUAUAAGAAAAUAGUAUACGUUCAAUUUUACAAGGUUAAUGCAAGUAGAAGCAUUUUAACCGGUGCUUUGUCCCUCUUCUUGAUUUUCUUUUUCUUUUCUUCUCCUUUUUCCUCUAAUUAAUUAAUUUUAGAGUUUGGUCAAAUAAUGGUAGAUGAAUUUGUAAGAAAAUUGGCUCUAGUGUCAUAAGAAAUCUUUCAACAAAAUUUGUUUAAUUAAUAAAAGAUUCCACUUUUCGUUAACAAAAAAUCGAUUGCGAAAAAGUGAAAUUAGACAAAUACAUAAAAUUGAUAUAAGCACAUAAAUAAUUUCAAUUUUGUUAAUAUAACAAUGCUUGUUUAAUUAACUUCGACAUUUUGUUAAUAUAUAUUGCUUAUUUAAUUGAAAAAAUAAAUUAGGAUGUUUUGCAAAUUAUGGAACGAUUUUUUCAUCCAGAAUGAAAGUUUGUACCUAAUUCUAGUUCUAGUAUUGUAUCUAGUUCUUCUAAUUCUAAUCUGUAUGAUUUUUUUAAUAUUAUUUAAUUAACUAUUAAUAAACAACCCCGUUAUCACGGACGCUAGGCAUCGAUAAUAAACUUUCAACUCUCGCUGUCCAUCUUAACUGAACUCGACCCCUAGAUUUACCUGUUGACCUCGAAAAUUGGUCCUUCCACGUGGCCAACCGAGAGCCACUCCAUGUAUUCCUCCCUGUGCACAAUCAAUACAUGGUCGGACGUAUACAGUCGGGACCAACAGGGGUGGUGACGGUCGUAUACACUCCGACGGUCAAGUCAGGUUCAGAUGGUCGGAACAGUACCCAGGGGUUGUGCAAAAUAAUAUGGGGGAGGAGAAAAUAUAUAUGCUUGCUAUGGAGUGCUGUCUAGUAAGAGUUUCAUUACCUUUGCCUCUUACAAGUCCUUGGGUAUUUAUAGGUGGGAUGAACCGUUGGAUGUGGGACACGUGUAUACAUCUGACGGUAUGAGGUGUCUGCUAAUAGGCGUCAAUCAGCCGCGUCUGUAGAUUAGGCGGGUAAUUGCUUCUCCCGAGUUGAGUUGACAUAAAGUUGAUAAGUCUCAUCAACUAGCCUCAUGGGGGCGUCAAAUCAAUUUAAACCUUAGGGAGAGAAAGGAUCUUGGCAAAGAUCUUCUUCUGCAAUUAGCGGCAGAUCUUCUGACAGAGGUCCCCGGAGUAUAUUUGGCCCCCAUAAAAUGGGGCCUGAUCUCUCUGCCCGGACACUCCUUGGUCCCUUAAUUCUCUUCUCUGGGGUGACUGCUCUCUGUACCUUCGAUCUCCCAUGUUCGGAGAGAUAGAUCUACGAAGAUAUUCAUUUCUCCUGGAGGGGUGUGGGUCGGUCCGGUCUCGACAUCGAGGAACGUCUCUGCAUUCGUUGGUGUCAUGCCCAUAGAAUUGAUGGAAAGUGAAAAACCUUGCCCCUUCCAAGGGCCUAUUUGAUCGCUUCUUCUUUUUUUUCUUGCUAUCGUUUCUUUCAGAUGGCCCCGCUUCGCCAGGAACAUUUUCAUAUACCAAUACCAGCACUGCAUUUAGUGUGGCAGAAGCCUAUGUCUGUCCGGAGGUAGGAGCUAUUGUGUGUCCUGCUUGAGUCCAUUGCUGAGUAACAAGAUGUACUGCGUGUCCUCGACCUACCUGCCUCUAAGGCGGAGGGAGUCCCUGUGUGGCACGAUUUCAGUGAUCAAUCAUUUCUUCACUCACGAUUUCAACUCUCAUCAUUUCCACGAGUUCGUCAUAGGUGGAAGGAUUCUUGCUUCGUACGUCCCUCCAGAACAAAGUGUUCAUGUUGAGGCCGCCUUUCAGGGCUGAAAGGGCUUCUCUGUCAGUGACCUGUUCACAGUAUGUGAUUCCAUCCAUAAACCUAGCGAGAUAGCUUUUCAGCGUCUCUCCAGGAGCCUGUCUCAUGUCUUGUAGGCGUUGCACUGGGGCCUCUCUUUCUCUUCGCGAGAGGUACUGAUUCAAGAAUGCCUUCUUCAAAUCUGGCCAACUUCUAAUGCUUAGGGGAGGAAGCCUGCUGUACCACACUUCAGCGGCUCCGCUUAGUGUUAAAUGGAAGGCUCUGCAUUUCAAAGCAGGCGAGGCUCCCCUGAGGCUCAUUUGUAUCAUAUACUUGGUGAGGUGCUUCUCCGGGUCCCCCUUUCCUUCAUACUUGGGGAUCUUAGGCGGCAUGAAAUUUGCUGGCAUUGGAAAGCUUCGGAUCUCCCCUAAGAAAGGGAGGUUAUCAUCAUCGUCGUCAAUCUCAUAAGACCGACAGGGCCCAUCUGACCCUUCAUCAUCUUGAAUGUUCUGGGGAGGUAGAAAUGCUUCUCCUCGACUCCCCCAAUCAACUAGGUUCCUUCUGUCCCUCCUAUUUCUAGGAGGAGGAGGAGCCUAUUCUUGUUCUUGAUCUGGUCGAACUGAUCUUCUCCCUAGGCGGACCCUAUUGAUAGGAUCAUCCCCUAUCCGAUCGAAGAUGCUUACCGACCUCUGUUCCUCAUAUUCUUGAGGAAAAUUGUCCCCCAAGUGUGGUUCUGAUGGCUGGUUCCCUUGCACAUAAGAUGUGCCUUCGGCGUCCACUUCUCUUUCCAGGGGACGUUCUUUGUGCUGACUGGUGUGGCCUCAAGAACGAGAUAUUGAGGCUUCCUGCACUGGGUAAGAUCCUUGGGGCAUUGGAGAGCCCUGGUGACCUCGGGCUUGCAUGAGAAGUUCAUGCAUUGCCAUAUUCUGAGCUGCGAUGUCUCUGAUGCCCGCAGUUAUUUGAGCUAUUCCUUCAAUGAGCAUGGCUAUUCUUUCACCUCGGCGACGCCGGUGAUGGGGUCUCUGGUGAGUAACAUUGUUAUGGAGCACCUCCUCUUCAAAGGCCUCUCUCAUGGGGUUGUCGUCUUCAUGGCUAUCACUCAUCAUAUUUCCUUUUUCAAGGAUGGUGAGAACUUGGAUUAUAACUCGACUUUGUUCUUUUUCAAGAACGUUCCCUUUUUAGGUUAGUCGCUAGUUUUUCGGUGAUUUCUUUGGUGGAGAAUGCAGAACUUUGAAUGGGAAGUUUUCCCACAGACGGCACCAAUCUGUUGACCUCGAAAUUGGUCCUUCCACGUGGCCAACCGAGAGCCACUCCACGUAUUCCUCCCUGCGCAUAAUCAACGCACGGUCAGAUGUACACAGCCGGGACCAGCAGGGUGGUGGCGACCGUAUACACUCCGAUGGUCAAGUCAGGUUCAGGUGGUCGGAACAGUACCCAGAGGUUGUGCAAAAUAAUAAGAGUGAGGAGAAAUAUAUAUGCUUACUAUGGAGUGCUGUCUAGUAAGAGUUUCAUUAUCUUUGCCUCUUGCCAACCCUAGGGUAUUUAUAGGUGGGAUGAAUCGUGGGAUGUGGGGCACAUGUAUACAUUUGACGGUAUGAGGUGUCUGUUCAUAGGCGUCAAUCAGCCGCGUCUGUAGAGUGGGCGGGUAAUUACUUCUCCCAAGUUGAAUUGACAUAAAGUUGAUAAGUCGCAUCAACUAGCCUCAUGGGGACGUCAAAUCAAUUUAAAUCUUAGGGGCAGAAAGGAUCUUGGCAAAGAUCUCCUUUUGCAAUUGGCGAUGGAUCUUCUGACAGAGGUCCUCGGAGUAUACUUCGCCUCGGCUUCGUGGGCAAGGGCACUUCGGUCAAUUCAGCAGGAUCGCCUAUGUCUCGCAGUGUGAUAGCAGGUCGUUGACAUUGGGGAGAUCACUUCGAAACCACUUCGGGUGGGUGUCAGGGCGAGGGCACUUCGGUCAGUUUAGUAGGAUCGCUUAUGUCUCGUAGUGUGAUAGCAGGUCGUUGACAUUGGGGAGAUCACUUCGGAACCACUUUGGGUGGGUGUCUAGCAGAUCGGAGUGCGUGGUAGUGGACAUUUCGAGGUGGUUCAGAUAGGGGCAUAACAUCGCCCAUGUUUUUACAGCAAGAUUAGUAAGAUUAUUAAUGGAAUCGUAUGAAGUCUUAUGAGCUUGGAACUAUGUGUUCAAUCUGAUGUAUAAUUUGCCACGGAGCGAGGUUGAAGUGAUGGGGUGCCAAUAAGAGGCGCUAAUCACAUCAACCUCUUGGAUGCUUUGACUCAAAUAGAUCUUUUUUCUUCUUUCAUUGAUUCAAAAAAUAUAGGAUCAAUGUAGUUUUCAACUAGUAUAAACUGUAUAAUGAUUAAAGACUUGCACAACCAUUUGGCAUGGCGUUUGAAAAGUUAGAAGGAUUUUUUGAAAUUCAAAAAUUAUUUUAUAAUUUGUUUGACUAAUUUUAUGAACAAUUGCUUGUAAUUAGAAGAGAUUUUAGAGGAAGUUGGUCAAAUGUAACUUCCUUUAAAAAUACUUCUAAAAAAGAAAAUACUUUUAAAAUUAGUUUUUAAAUAAAAAUUAAGGUAGCUUUUUUCAAUAGCUAUUAUAUAGGAAGUAAAAACGAACUAUUCAUUGCUUUGUUGACGAAUUGAGAUAGAAAUGAGAACAUGAUCAUCGUCUUGUCCCUCUUUUUGAAAAUUUACAAUCGCGUGGGGGAUAAGCAAGGUCACCCUAGCCCUACUCCAUAGCGAUCCUUGAUAAUUGUCAUAUUAUUCAUAGUACUUUCUUAAUUCUUUUGAAAUUAUUUUUGUUAUCAUUUGAUCGUGUGGUUCUCGUAAAUUUGUUUGGUUUGUUAUUUGUCUUAAUUAUAUGUUUUCUACAAUAAAAUCGGUGUAAUGAAUAUUGAUUUCAACUAAAAGGAUAUAUAUUUAAAAAAAUUAUAAAAUGAGGUAAAUGUAAAAUUUUGAUUUUUAAUUAAAAAGGGUAUUAAAAUUAUUAAAAGAGUGUAAUUUUUUUAAUAUAAUUUUUGGACAAAAUAGAAUAUCUAUAAAGUCAUCACUUUCAUGAAAGUAGUACAAUGGGCGUGUAGCCGGAUGAGAGGCUGUGACCUGUAUUUGCAUGGUAGGUUAGUUGGGUUGCUUGAGCCCAAUGAGACAUACAAUUGUUUCAUACCAUGUCUAGGGCUAUCAAUGCACUGGAUUUUGAUCCGAAUCCGAUGAAAUUAAUGGGAGACGGAUUUAAGGUAUCAAUCCGAUAAUCCUUUAACUAAAUGGAGCAAAUAUGAAUAUAGGUCGAUCCGAUCCGACAAUAAUAUGAUCCGAUUUAUUAUAAUAAUAUAAUAUAUUUUAUAUAUUAUAUCAUAAUCUAGUAAACAUAUUUUUUUCCAUUUUGAAACUUAUAUUAAGUUUUACACAUAAUUUUAAAAUAAUAAAUAAUAUUAUAUAAUAGUAUAAUAUUGUUAAUUGAAAUAUUCAAAGAGAUUUAAUUUUUUUUAUUAAUUAUGUUGGAUUUUUGAUACCCAAUAAUUUGGGCGAUGAUUUAAAAUAGUUGUCGGAUUAUUUAUUUACACCAUGGACUUGGCUCGGCUCGGAGACGAACUACACUCUUGGAUGGCUCGGGUUUGGGUUGGAUGAUUAUUUGGUUAGUUAGACCAUUUAGUUAUUAAGACACACACAGAUGGUACUCAGUCAGCGCAGGAAUCAGGUAUAGGGACAGUUCCUCAAACCACUCUUGCACAGGGGUUGUUGGCUGAGAUCAGCUCAGAGCGACAUGGUGUCAAGCAUAUGCUGAUUGAUCACUUUAAGAAGGACCAUGGAAUGAAAGUUGGAUCUACCAUGAGAUUUGCUAUUGAGGACUUGGUUUUUAAGCUCUUUGGAAAGGGACCUUCUGUGAGUAAGACUCCUACGCAUACACCUUCACCUAGUCCUUCUAUCACAGCUCUUACACACAAUAAGGUGAAAGAACAUAUACAGAGAGACAUGGAUGGCAUGGGCCUUGGAAACUGCAUGCAAAAUGCAGAGGACGAUGUCCCUACAGCAAGCAGGUCAAUCUCCCACGAUUCAGAUGUUGUAGCACAGAACACCAUGAGAUUAGACGCACCUACAACUAGUACAAUGAGAUCAGAUGCACCCGCUUUUCUCCCGACAUUCAGUGCACCACCAUCUGAACAGUACUUAUCACCAAAGCAGGCUCCUACACGCAGGUGAGACCCCUCUCCAACGAGCGAGCCAGACAUCGCAGACUACUAUGAUCCGAAAAUGUUUCAAACCAGACGCAUGACUCGAUCAAUGUCUAUGUACUACCACCUGAAGAUUUACCCUCGAGAAUACCCUUGAGUACCUUUCAUUAGUUUUUGUUCGUGUCUUGUUUACUGUGAUUGCAUUUUAUCUUCAAAUAUUUGUUACAAUUUACAUUUGCUGGAGGUCAGGUCCAUGCCCCCCUCCUCUAUUUGUUUUCCCGCUUUUCAUUAUAUAAAAUAAACCACACUAGUGGUAUUUGCUUAAAAAAAAUCAUAUGAGUAGUUUAAUAGUUCAAAAAAAAAAAAAACUAACCUAUAUAUAUGUAUUUAUCUCCCAGCCAUUUUUGGUGGUGUGUGUAUGUGUUGUAGCAAUGGAGAGGAGAGUUGAGAGAAGAGAGACAGCCGAGAGAGAGGGAAGCCAUGUGAGGUUGUGAGUGAGACUCAACCAUUGUGAUAUCUUCGUCUUCCUCUCCAUACCUUUGUGGAUUGCUAACACCACCACCCUUCUCCUUUGUGUGGUUUGAGAGAGUUUGGACAGUUCAAAGUGAAGGCAAAAUUCUUGGGUCGAGCCGAGGUAAAUCGGUGUUCGUUUGAUUAUUUUCUGACCCCGGAAUCAAGAUUUAUUGAGGGAUUUCCACUACAAAUGGUAUCAGAGCUUGUGUUGUUGAUAAAUCUGUGAUUUUUGGGGCUAAAAACAGGCUGGAAGUGGUCAGAAACAGAUCUGGAAAUCAGAGGCAGAAACUGUCCAGUUUUUUCAAAUUUUUGCCAGAUCUGUUUUGGCAUUUUCUAGAGAAACCAAAAGGAGUUUGGUGAAAUUGACACCACCGGUGGACUGUGCAGGCGGAGAAGAAGCCGGAAGGGUGACAGGUCACCGGCUCGUGGCCGGCCAACGCCGGCACGUGGGAACUCCGACGUGGAGCGUGCAGGCGCGUGAGACGGAAUUCGACGAUGGUGUCUUCAGACAGAAUGUUGCUGGAGAUGAGACGGACCCUGCAGUGUUGUCGAAUUUCAGUUUGGAGCAAUACAGUGAAAGUUGGACGAUUUUGCCCUUGGACGUUCGGGUGCCGGGUGCUGUUUUCGUGUUACUGUGGUUGCUGGUGACUUUAGGAUAAAUAGUGAUAGUCAUGAAGUGGUGAAUUCGCAUCUCUCGAUAUUUACGGACCUUUAGACGUGGUCCGCUCGGUAUCGCAUCUUUUGCUUUCUAUUAUUACAGUUAAAAUAAAUGUGUAGGUUAAUUAUUUAUUUUUCGCGUUAGAAGUCAUCGUGUGGGGUGACGUUAGGUUUGGGGUAACCAUUUCUUGUUGCUAGACUAAGAAAUUAUAUGCCUUAAAUUCUAUGUGAAUUUGUUACCAAUUUUUCUACACAGAUAGAAUUGCAUGUGACUUUAGGAAAGUUCACUUGACUAUUCUGUGUGAAUUAUGUGUCAGUACUUUGCUUGUGGUCAUUAUUUGGUAUUGUUGGCGUGUAUAGGUCUAAGGCAAGUGCAAAAAAUAAAAUAUGUUAUUAACUGUGGUAAAAUUUGGGCAUAGUUGAAAGAGAUUGUCCUAGGAUGAUAAUAAAAGGAAAGAUGAUGAUAGAGAUGAGGCGAAUGUGACUUUAGGGUCGAGUAGUGAUCCUAAUGAGAAUUAUUGAGAGAAUAAACCUGGUUCUUACGUUGCAUCUGUGUAUAAUCCUUUCUGCAUGUCUGUGGUCACUUAAUUUUAUUGCAAUGUCGAUUUUACACUUUCAAUAUAUUUGAUGUGUGUAAUUGCAUGAAUUAGAGUGACUUGUUACUUUGUGUAAUAUGUUUACAUGCAUAGUGGGUUAAGUUUUGUGGCGUACUCUAUUUGCUCUGUGAGUGAUGUGAGAUUGUGGUAGUGAGAAAAAAGUUGGGCAGCCGUUUCUCU